rnacentral:rRNA from 1 species
UACGUAGGGUGCGAGCGUUAAUCGGAAUUACUGGGCGUAAAGCGUGCGCAGGCGGUUUUGUAAGCCAGAUGUGAAAUCCCCGGGCUUAACCUGGGAAUGGCAUUUGGGACUGCAAGGCUUGAGUUUGGCAGAGGAGACUGGAAUUCCUGGUGUAGCAGUGAAAUGCAUAGAUAUCAGGAGGAAUACCGAUGGCGAAGGCAGGUCUCUGGGCUGAAACUGACGCUCAUGCACGAAAGCGUGGGGAGCAAACAGG